rnacentral:rRNA from 1 species
AGCGAACGCUGGCGGCGUGCUUAACACAUGCAAGUCGAGCGGUAAGGCCCUUUCGGGGUACGACGAGCGGCGAACGGGUGAGUAACACGUGGGUGACCUGCCCUCAGCUCUGGGAUAAGCCUGGGAAACCGGGUCGUAAUACUGGAUAUGACUCCAUGACGCAUGUUGUGGGGUGGAAAGCCUUGUGCGGCUGAGGAUGGGCCCGCGGCCUAUCAGCUUGUUGGUGGGGUGAUGGCCUACCAAGGCGACGACGGGUAGCCGGCCUGAGAGGGCGA